rnacentral:tRNA from 1 species
GGGGUUGUAACUCAGUGGUAGAGUACUUGCCUGGCACAUGUAAGGCACUUGGGUUUGAUCCUCAGCACCACA